ensembl:snoRNA small nucleolar RNA SNORA36 family
AACCAAAGCGUUGAGUUCAGUUCAGGGUGUUGCCCCUGUUCUGGUAAUUAAGCUUUGGGACAGUGAGUGACUGGGAAGUGCACUGUGGUGACUGAAAGCUUGUUUUAUGCCACCUGUGUUUCUCAGCCUACAGAU